rnacentral:rRNA from 1 species
UUCGGACCAAAGAUUUAUCGCCUUUAGAUGGGCCCGCGUUGGAUUAGCUAGUUGUGGGUAAAGGCCUACCAAGGCGACGAUCCAUAGCUGGUCUGAGAGGAUGAUCAGCCACACUGGGACUGAGACACGGCCCAGACUCCUACGGGAGGCAGCAGUGGGAAUAUUGGACAAUGGGCGAAAGCCUGAUCCAGCAAUGCCGCGUGAGUGAUGAAGGCCUUAGGGUUGUAAAGCUCUUUACCCGAGAUGAUAAUGACAGUAUCGGGAGAAUAAGCUCCGGCUAACUCCGUG